CUAGCCAAGUCAUAGACCUACAGGGACAAGAAGAGGUGCCUAGCCAAGUCAUAGACCUACAGGGACAAGAAGAGGUGCCUAGCCAAGUCAUAGACCUACAGGGACAAGAAGAGGUGCCUAGCUGAGUCAUAGAGCUACCAUGAGAAGAAGAGGUACCUAGCUGAGUCAUAGACCUACCGUGAGAAGAAGAGCUGCCUAGCCAAGUCAUAGACCUACAGGGACAAGAAGAGGUGCCUAGCCAAGUCAUAGACCUACCGUGAAAAGAAGAGGUGCCUAGCCAAGCCCAGACUAGAUCACCCAAACCCCAGCUGGCCAGCGGAUGGGGAAGUGAUAAUCGCUGAUUGUUGUUAAGCUGCUGAGACUUGAGAAGGUUUGUCACACAGCGAUAGCUAACUGCUAUAUCUACCCACUUGCCACAACAGUGUGAAGGAGUAGGUUUUACUACCAUAGGCCUUUGAAGAGCUAACUUAUGUAUUAAGUCUGGUUAAGUGUUCCUAAUUUCUGAGUUCCUAAUUUAAGGGAUAGUCGUCCCUCGUUUCAAGGGCAUUUCUAAAGGGCUAGAAGAAGGGAAGAGGAAAGAAUGCUUUCUGUGUGCUCAGCACAGCGCUCAAUGCUUUCGCCUGGGUCAAGUUACAUGGAAUCUGUUGACCAUGAAGGCGUCACAGGCCUCCCUCUGCCAG
rnacentral:lncRNA from 1 species